rnacentral:rRNA from 1 species
CUCAAUGAAAAUUAAAUAGCCGCAAAUAUUUUGUGCAAAGGUAGCAUAAUCAUUUGUUUUUUAAUUAAAAACUAGAACGAAAGAUUUAACAUUUUCAUUUCUUUUUUAUAUUUAUAUAUUAAAAUUAUUUUAAAUAUAAAAAAAUAUUUAUUUUUAAAAAAGACGACAAGACCCUAUUGAACUUAACUAAAGUUAAACUGGGGUAGUUAAUUAAACACAAUUUUAAUUUAAAUUUUAAAAAAACCUAAUAUAAUUAAAUACAUUAAGUUACCAUAGGGAUAACAGCGUAAUAAUUUUCAAAAGAUCUUAUUUAAAAAUUCGUUUACGACCUCGAUGUUGAAUUAAUAAUCUAUUAAAUGCAAAAAUUUAAUAAGAAAGUC